rnacentral:rRNA from 1 species
UCGAGCGAACAGACGAGGAGCUUGCUCCUCUGACGUUAGCGGCGGACGGGUGAGUAACACGUGGAUAACCUACCUAUAAGACUGGGAUAACUUCGGGAAACCGGAGCUAAUACCGGAUAAUAUAUUGAACCGCAUGGUUCAAUAGUGAAAGACGGUUUUGCUGUCACUUAUAGGUGGAUCCGCGCCGCAUUAGCUAGUUGGUAAGGUAACGGCUUACCAAGGCAACGAUGCGUAGCCGACCUGAGAGGGUGAUCGGCCACACUGGAACUGAGACACGGUCCAGACUCCUACGGGAGGCAGCAGUAGGGAAUCUUCCGCAAUGGGCGAAAGCCUGACGGAGCAACGCCGCGUGAGUGAUGAAGGUCUUCGGAUCGUAAAACUCUGUUAUUAGGGAAGAACAAAUGUGUAAGUAACUAUGCACGUCUUGACGGUACCUAAUCAGAAAGCCACGGCUAACUACGUGCCAGCAGCCGCGGUAACACGUAGGUGGCAAGCGUUAUCCGGAAUUAUUGGGCGUAAAGCGCGCGUAGGCGGUUUUUUAAGUCUGAUGUGAAAGCCCACGGCUCAACCGUGGAGGGUCAUUGGAAACUGGAAAACUUGAGUGCAGAAGAGGAAAGUGGAAUUCCAUGUGUAGCGGUGAAAUGCGCAGAGAUAUGGAGGAACACCAGUGGCGAAGGCGACUUUCUGGUCUGUAACUGACGCUGAUGUGCGAAAGCGUGGGGAUCAAACAGGAUUAGAU